AUGAUUUCUCAAAAGAAUUUUAAUGCUUUGCUUGAAGAAAAAUUGCUCAAAGUUGAUGAUUUGGCUAGGAACGUUGAUAGACUUUCGCUUGAUGUUGAUUCUCUUAAAAUUAGAUCUUCUUCUCCUAAGCAUGAUAUCAAUGAGUCUCUCAAAGUAAUGCGAAUUUCCAUUGAUGAGUGUAAGGAAAGAACCGCUAGAUUGCGUGCUAAGAAAGAUAGCUUUAUAAAAGCGUGUUCUUCUAGUUUCCAUGAAAAUAAUGAUGAAGAUCUUAAAGUUAUCGAUGCUUCUCCUAUUAGAUCUAUGUUUUGCAAUAUGAAUUUUGAUGAUUAUGGGACUGAUGAUGAAUCAACUUUUCCUAGAAGGCGUCCCAAGAAUUCAGAGUCUUUAGAUCUUGAUGCUAAAUUUGGUAAAAGUGAGAUUGGAAAGGCCACAACUUCAAAUAACAUUGAACCAACUAUCUCGGAUUUCAAGGAAUUUUAUUAUGAUAUUUUUUUCUUUAAAAGGUUGUAUUUCCUUGUUGCAAUCCGUUGUUAA
rnacentral:rRNA from 1 species